UUUUAAUUAUAAUAUUAAACAUUUGAUAAAAUAAUUAGUUUAAAAUUAAAUAGUUAAGAUAUGAAUCUUCUGAUUUUAUUAAUAUUUACCUUGAGCUGGACUAUUCACCAAUUUUAUGUUUGAUCCAAAUGCCGCAGCUUUUAAUAUGGUUAAAAAUCUUAUGAUCGGUGUGAUAAGUCACAAUGAAAGUAGGAAAUGCUCAUAUUACCUGAUUUAUAACUACCUAUAUUUCCUGCCAAAAACCGUCAUUCAGGUAGAAAUUUUGAAGGUGGGAGAAAAACUCUAUAUUAAGGAAUAUUACGAUGAAUUUUGUAUGUUGAAGAUAGGCAAUGGAAUACAAAAAAUUAAUAUCACAAACACAACCGAGAAUUCUCAACAUAUAAUUAACGUGACCACUUUCGAGAUACCACUAAACACAUUUUUUACUAUAUCUAGUUUCAUUAUAUUAUUAUUAUUAUUAUUUUGAAAUAUUAAUAUAAUUAUGUUUGUGCGAAGCCGAAGUUUAUGAGUUAAACUAGAUCUUAUGAAUAAUUGAAUGAUUUAUGUUAGAAAUAAUAAUUUUUGAUUAAGAAAUUUAAUAUUAUGUUUUAAAAAUAAUCAUUUUUUUAAAGGAAAUCAUUCAAUAUAAUUGUAAUUUUUAUUAAGUUUAUAUAUUUAUUAAUCACAAAGAGAGUGGUAGACUGUUAAAAUCUUACAUAGAUCAUAAUGAUGCUUGUGACCUGAUUGUAUCACUCGAUAUAUACAAAUAUGAUGUAUAUAUAUCGGGGUUUUUAUUCAAGUAAUAAUAAUUUAACAUCUGAUUAGAAAAUUAAUAACCAUGUAUUAUACAUAUUUAACUAUUAAUCCAGUAACGUACCCUUAGAAAUAACUGAAAAUGCGAUCUUGGAAAUUUUCAAAUCAAACCCCAUCACAGGAUAUUUAGAGGAUGUUGUGCAAACGAACAAUUUUUUUUUAUAAAAAUUACAGAGCAGCAAGAUAGAUGGUAUUAAGUGCAGUUACCAAAUUAAAAUGAGCCAUGCGAACGUAAUUGCAAAACCAUAUUUAAAUAAAUAUACUAUAUGGCUAACUUUCUAUAGCAGUAUACUUAUUUUUUUUAUUCAUUUUUACGUGCUGUUAAUCAAAUAUUCGAGUAAAAUUAGAUAAAUAAAAAAAACACUAUUUAACAAUUUUUUCAACUUUAAAAAAAAUAAUAAAAUAAAUAUAAUUAGUUGACAGUGAACGUAUCAAAACCCUCGAAACACGCGGGAAAUUAUCAAUUGAAUACCGUGAUAAUAUUUGAUAUAGAUAACCCAGAAAAGGAUAUCAAUUUAAAUGUCCAUACGAUUGAUGAGGGAAUAAUUAUCCAAACCUCAUUUGGAGUAACGUUUAACAGUACUAAACACUUGAUUAAUGGAUCGAUUAUUCCAGAAUCAAUUUUCUAUCGCAGGCAUGUGAUCGCUAUUAUCGAAAUUUGGAUUUCAGAAGAUAAUACGUAUCAAUUUACUUUGCCGAAAGAUUUUUACAUCCAUAUACAAAGACAAUUCAAGAAUUGUGAUCGGUGUGUAUAAAGCAGCAAACGUGAUAUUCAACAAUUUCCUUUUAAUCAAUUUUAAAAGAUUGGAAACUAAAUUUUAAUUAAUUUUUUUUAAAAAAUGGGGCAAUUUUUAUUUUUAUUAAUACAAUAAUCUUUUAUUUUAGUAUAUUAUAAUUAUUAUGUAUUCAAUAAAUUGUUUUGAGGUGCUCA